ACCUUUGUCAUCACAUUAUUUACACACUUGGUUCCGAGCGUGGAGAGACGGCGCGGUGCAAGAGGCAACACAGCCCCUCCCAGCCACACUCACACCUGUAUGUCAACUGAGACAGUGAGAGAGGCAGCUCCCCGCCAAGGAAGGAAGCGAGAGGGACCAUGAAACGCCAAACAGGUUUCCAAUCCCGGAAACCAAAGCACUUACAAGUUUUGGGUCUGCCAAUAGCUGACCUCCAACACACUCUACCACUCACUCCUCUACCACCACAGCCUUACCUUAUCAUAAAAGGGGAAAAAAAGUCUCCUUUGGCCUUCUGGUUCGAGAAAUAACUUGAGAAAACACAAAGGGCGAGCCUGACUUGACCUGCCGUCUGGCCGAGUCCCUCCACAAGGAAAAAUAUGGUUUCCGGUUUCCAAUUUUCGGGGACAUUUGAUUGAUUUUGGCCAUUUAUUAUGCACCCCAUAUCAAUUCCGUGAGUAGUAAUGAACCUCAUAUCCAUUCCGUGGGUAGUAAUGAACCCCCAUACCCAUUCCGUGAGUAGUAAUGAACCUCAUAUCCAUUCCGUGGGUAGUAAUGAACCCCCAUACCCAUUCCGUGAGUAGUAAUGAACCUCAUAUCCAUUCCGUGGGUAGUAAUGAACCCCCAUACCCAUUCCGUGAGUAGUAAUGAACCCCCAUACCCAUUCCGUGAGUAGUAAUGAACCUCAUAUCCAUUCCGUGGGUAGUAAUGAACCCCAUACCCAUUCCGUGAGUAGUAAUGAACCCCAUAUCCAUUCCGUGGGUAGUAUUGAACCUCAUACCCAUUCCGUGAGUAGUAAUGAACCCCAUACCCAUUCCGUGAGUAGUAAUGAACCCCCAUACCCAUUCCGUGAGUAGUAAUGAACCCCAUAUCCAUUCCGUGGGUAGUAUUGAACCUCAUACCCAUUCCGUGAGUAGUAAUGAACCCCAUACCCAUUCCGUGAGUAGUAAUGAACCCCCAUACCCAUUCCGUGAGUAGUAAUGAACCUCAUAUCCAUUCCGUGAGUAGUAAUGAACCCCCAUACCCAUUCCGUGAGUAGUAAUGAACCCCAUAUCCAUUCCGUGGGUAGUAUUGAACCUCAUACCCCUUCCGUGAGUAGUAAUGAACCCCAUAUCCAUUCCGUGAGUAGUAAUGAACCCCAUACCCAUUCCGUGAGUAGUAAUGAACCCCAUACCCAUUCCCUGAGUAGUAAUGAACCCCAUACCCAUUCCGUGAGUAGUAAUGAACCCCAUACCCAUUCCGUGAGUAGUAAUG
rnacentral:misc_RNA from 1 species